rnacentral:lncRNA from 1 species
UCAAACAUAACAUGAUUUUAGCAAAAGAGGUUUUUGAGGAUGCUUAGGGGCAGGUUUGAACUGCAUACCUUAAAGUUGAGCCAAACACACUUUAAUUGCUUUUUUUGCAUUGAAAACCUGCUUCACUUUAAAGUUAAGUAGUUUAAGGUAUUUGGUAAAAAUAAAAUAUCCCGAUUAUUUUAAAAGUAGUCGCCUUUUGACAGCAUCUUUUAAAAGCGGGCUCUAAG